UCCUACGGGUGGCAGCAGUGGGGAAUUUUGCGCAAUGGGCGAAAGCCUGACGCAGCAACGCCGCGUGCGGGAAGAAGGCCCUCGGGUUGUAAACCGCUUUCGGCAGGAACGAAAUUGACGGUACCUGCAGAAGAAGCCCCGGCCAACUACGUGCCAGCAGCCGCGGUAAUACGUAGGGGGCGAGCGUUGUCCGGAUUCAUUGGGCGUAAAGAGCUCGUAGGCGGUUCGGUAAGUCAGAUGUGAAAACUCCAGGCUCAACUUGGAGACGCCAUCUGAUACUGCCGUGACUAGAGUCCGGUAGGGGAGCACGGAAUUCCUGGUGUAGCGGUGAAAUGCGCAGAUAUCAGGAGGAACACCAGCGGCGAAGGCGGUGCUCUGGGCCGGAACUGACGCUGAGGAGCGAAAGCGUGGGUAGCGAACAGGAUUAGAUACCCGUGUAGUC
rnacentral:rRNA from 1 species